rnacentral:lncRNA from 1 species
AACAUGAUAUGUGAACCUCUUUGGUUUUGUAUUUGGUAAGAUUAAAGUAUUGGAAUGACUCGAUGUCCCGUGAUGCGAAACAUGAUAUGUGAACCUAUUUGAUUUUGUAUUCGGUAAAAUGAAAGUAUUGGAUUAACCCUCGUCGCGAAAAUGAGAUUUUAGCCUAUAUGGUUACAAGUUUAAUAAGUAUGAAGGUUUAUGGAGUUUGUUACCUCUUCAGCGGUAUGUUUGAG